GAUGAAGAACGUAGCGAAAUGCGAUAAGUAGUGUGAAUUGCAGAAUUCAGUGAAUCAUCGAAUCUUUGAACGCACAUUGCGCCCCUUGGUAUUCCGGAAGGCAUGCCUGUUCGAGAGUCAUUAACAACCGUUUCGAUCCCUUUCUUUCAGAAAUUACAAAGAGGAAAAGGGUUUGGUUAUGGUGGAGGAGGGAAAGGGAGCGUUUAGCCUGUAAAAAAAGAGGCUGUGUUCCGCCUCCCCCCCAAAAUUGUACAGGCGGUCGUGUGCGCCCACGCAUCGAGGUGUUGUAAAAGCUGCCACGGCACUUUUCACCUGUGCAGUGCGAGAUUGGCCAGCCGGUUUAAAAACCCCUCCAAACAAUCAAAGGUUGACCUCGGAUCAGGUAGGGAUACCCGCUGAACUUAAGCAUAUCAAUAAGCGGAGGA
rnacentral:misc_RNA from 1 species